GAGUGGGUCUGCCGCAGCAGCGAAAGGUAGCGGAAGAAAUCAGGAGGCGUCGGACCGUUGCUGGGAGACGAGACACAGCCGGAAGGGGCGGGGCCCACGCCGCACCCGGCCCUCCCACGAUCCCAGGUAGCAUUGGUCCUCCUGCAUGUCAGGCAGGGGACUGGACUAAAUUGCGGCGGAUGGUUAAAAUUAAGGCACAAGUGUGUCACCAACAUCCACUUGCGAUAAGAAGCAGACAAACAGAAGGACACUUAGAAAACUGUCAACUAGCACUGUCAACAUGAGAAAUGUGGACUAAAAGCCACUUGAGAGCUACAAGUGCCCAGAAGAGCAGAUAAGGUUCUCAAUGAGGCCUUGGACAGAGCGAGGAACAAGUACCCUGUCUUCAGGUCGCACAGGAGUGUGGCACCCAAGCCCACCAGAGGGCUCCAACCCCCUGUUCUACGUGGUGAACAAACAGCCUGCCAAUAAGAGCAGACCUCCAGGCCCUCUAGAGUGUGUCACCAACAAGGUUUCUACCAACAAGGCCCCAAGAUCUGCCUGCCUCUGCCUCCUGUGUGCUGGGAUUAAAGGCGUGCGCCAACA